AGGGUAGAUCUCGGUCCUCUAAAGCAAAUCUAACGGCCGAGAUUUGUCCACGUCAUCACGAGUUAAAAUUUAACUCCAGUAAAAUUUUAACUCCUGAAAUUUUACUCCUACGAGUUAUAUUUUAACUCAUUAUGACGUGGACGAAUCUCAGCCGUUGAAUUUGUUUUGGAGGGCUGAGAUUCACCCU
rnacentral:pre_miRNA from 1 species